rnacentral:rRNA from 1 species
UACGUAGGGAGCAAGCGUUAUCCGGAUUUAUUGGGUGUAAAGGGUGCGUAGACGGGAAGUCAAGUUGGUUGUGAAAUCCCUCGGCUCAACUGAGGAACUGCAACCAAAACUAACUUUCUUGAGUACUGGAGAGGAAAGUGGAAUUCCUAGUGUAGCGGUGAAAUGCGUAGAUAUUAGGAGGAACACCAGUGGCGAAGGCGACUUUCUGGACAGUAACUGACGUUGAGGCACGAAAGUGUGGGGAGCAAACAGG